GCCCGUGGUUUCAAGCGGUUCGGAUAUGAAAUGGUGUAUCGGCGGUUCGAUUCCGUCUCUGGGCACCA
rnacentral:tRNA from 1 species